rnacentral:rRNA from 1 species
AUUGAACGCUGGCGGCAGGCCUAACACAUGCAAGUCGAACGGUAACAGGCCUUCGGGUGCUGACGAGUGGCGGACGGGUGAGUAAGGUAUGGGGAUCUGCCUGAUGGAGGGGGAUAACCACUGGAAACGGUAGCUAAUACCGCAUAACGUCGCAAGACCAAAGUGGGGGACCUUCGGGCCUCAUGCCAUCAGAUGUGCCCAGAUGGGAUUAGCUAGUAGGUGGGGUAAUGGCUCACCUAGGCAACGAUCCCUAGCUGGUCUGAGAGGAUGACCAGCCACACUGGAACUGAGACACGGUCCAGACUCCUACGGGAGGCAGCAGUGGGGAAUAUUGCACAAUGGGCGCAAGCCUGAUGCAGCCAUGCCGCGUGUAUGAAGAAGGCCUUCGGGUUGUAAAGUACUUUCAGCGAGGAGGAAGGCAUUAAGGUUAAUAACCUUAGUGAUUGACGUUACUCGCAGAAGAAGCACCGGCUAACUCCGUGCCAGCCGCCGCAGUAACAC